rnacentral:rRNA from 1 species
AUGGCCGAACGCUUCCCCGACGACGCCGCGGCGGCCAACGGCUUCGGCCGUCGGUCGCUCCAGGAGUGGGAGGCGUGGCUGCUUUUCGAGGCCAACAUCCCGGCGCCGCCGGACAUGCGCGCUGGGCCGAUGGGGUGGAGGCUUAGCAACGGCGGCGUCCCCAUCCCCUCGGUGCCCGACGUCGACGCGCGCCUCGGCGUCUUCGCCGCCGAGGUCGACCACGUGCGGUCGUCCCUCACGGAGGAGCAGCGCGCCCUCCCCCAGUACGCCGCCAACAACCACGCGGCGUGGGCGGACUACUUCCAGCGGUGGCAGGCGCAUCGGCUGGCGUCCACGAACGGGGCGUCGGUGGUGGGCGGCGUUAAGAACAACGACGGCCGCCGCUCUCGUGGGGCGUCCCGGGCCAUACGCUCCACGAGGUGCUGGAGUACCUCGAGGGCGGCAAUAACCCGCCGCUGGCAUACCGUGCCGCGGCGGCCGUCCCCCCCCUCACCGGAGCGCAGGAGGUUCGACUCCUCCUCCUCUUCCUCCUCCCACUCUUUCGGCUCGCCGGCGCUCUUUGGCGUCAAGGCCGAGCCCCCCGCGGAGACGCCGCUCGAUCGGCGCACCCGCAGAGCCGGCAUCGUCAUCAACGAGGGCGGCCGGCGCACCUCCUCCUCGGCCCCUCCACGCUUCGUCAAGCCAAAGACGGAGCUGGGGCUCCACGUCGUGAAGACGGAGCCCGGGCUCGACGACGAAGCGACCCUCAAAUGGGCGCGCGACGACUGGGCGCGCACGGAGCUGGAGCGCCAGCGCGCCGCCUACGCGCGGUUUGAAGCUCGGCGCCGUGGCCGGGACGAGGGAGGCGUCGUCGUCCUCGACGACGACACGCCGCCACCACCGGUCCGCUAUGGAGACGCCGGGCAGGGGUCCAGUAGGGCGGGCGUGCCAUCAAGGAGAAGGCCGCCGCCGCCGACGAGGAUGACGGCGACGUCGGCGACUUCGCCGCGCUCAGCGACUUCUUCGUCCCGUAGAAGUCUGUUUUUAAAAUAA